AUGUGUGUCCAUCUCCCGUUCAAUGUCCCGGAACUGCUCAGUGCUCACGUGCCCCCGCCGUAGGGCGCGGGGGCGGCGCGGCAAGCAGGCGAGGGCGAGCAGCGCGCAUACGCGGAUCUGAACGAUGAUCCGUCGACGCUCGGCGCCGGCGCAGCAGCAGGUGCUCGUUGGGGGGCCGGGGUCUGUCUGCAGCCGAGGAUGCGCGGGUGGGUGGGGGGGGGGGGGGGGGGCGGGCGGCGGCACUCGUGGUCGUGCCCGGCGCUAGAGUGCCGCUUGCGGCGCAGUUGCAGGCGGGCAGCGCGGGGAGCUAGCAAGCAGAUUAUCUGUAGAUACAGCCGCGGCAAGCAGGUUUUGAUAUAUUUAGGACUUCCUGAGUUUGAUAGUGAUCGUAAAGGAUGUCUAUCAUUGUCGUCUGCUCCGACAAGACUGUUAAGCUGCAUACAGAAGUCCAGUGGUAGGGUAGCUAAGGAGCUCAGAGGCCCUUGUUCAGUUGGCACACUGAAUUCAGUGUUAGCAUAAUACUCUGUGGUUGCGAUAAUAAGUUGCAUCAAUAUUGUACUCUUGCCCUUUUGUGAAGGAAACUUGACACAUUUUUAAUCAAGGCAGUGGCAGAAUUGAGGAGGCAGCACUCGCCCAAUCUAUGAAAGAGUGGUGGAUGAAGAUCAGGAGAAAGCAAUGUCAGGAUUGAUGAUCAAACAGGACAUCACCAUGGCUUCUUAUGUAGUCUGGAACAUUUGGAAAGAACGAAACCGAGGAAUUUUCAAAGGGAAGUCCAUGUCUCCCUUCGCGUUGUCAGGCCUGAUCAGAGAGGAUCGAGACCCUUCGGCUGCUAGAAAGGUUUAUUGUACAGCCGAGUUGCUUGUUGUAAUCUCGGAAGUCUUUGUUUGUUUUGGUUUCAAUCUUGUACUGUAAAUAUUUUCCCUCAAUGAAAUGGCAGAGCACCUGCCUCUUUAAAGUAAAAAAUAUUGUACUAUUUCCAUUUUCACUUCGCAGUAAUAAGAUCUUGUUAAGAUGUGAUAA